rnacentral:rRNA from 1 species
CUACUANUUGUCCGCCAAACAACUACCAGUAAUACUUAAAACUUAAAAGACUUGACGGUCCUUCACCCCAACCUAGAGGAGCCUGUUCAAUAACCGAUAAUCCACGAUUAACCCAACCACUUCUAGCCUAACAGNCUAUAUACCGCCGUCGCCAGCCUACCUUGUAAAAGAAAUAAAGUAAGCUAAAUAGUACAACACUAAAAUGACAGGUCGAGGUGUAACUCAUGAAAUGGAACAAAUGGGCUACAUUCUUUAACCGAGAAUACGAACAACACUAUGAAAUUAAUGUUUGAAGGCGGAUUUNGCAGUNNGAUAAGAAUAAAACACUUAACUGAACAUAAUGCAAUGAAGUGCGUACACACCGCCCGUCACCCCUGCUACCAC